rnacentral:tRNA from 1 species
GGGGCCGUAGGGUAGCUUGGCCAUCCUUCCAGCUCGGGGAGCUGGUGACCCGAGUUCAAAUCUCGGCGGCCCCA